rnacentral:rRNA from 1 species
UAAGGGUUCCUGGGUCAAGCUGAUCUGCCCAGGGUAAGUCGGGACCUAAGGCGAGGCCGACAGGCGUAGUCGAUGGACAACCGGUUGAUAUUCCGGUACCCGCUUUGAAACGCCCAAUAUCGAAUCAGGCGAUGCUAAGUCCCGUGAAGCCGCCCUGAGCUCUUCGGAGCGUAGGGGAUUGGUGGAGCCGACGAACCAGACUUGUAGUAGGUAAGCGAUGGGGUGACGCAGGAAGGUAGUCCAGCCCGGGCGGUGGUAGUCCCGGGGUAAGGGUGUAGGCCGUGUGAUAGGCAAAUCCGUCACACGUUAAGGCUGAGACCUGAUGCCGAGCCGAUUGUGGUGAAGUGGAUGAUCCUAUGCUGUCGAGAAAAGCCUCUAGCGAGUUUCAUGGCGGCCCGUACCCUAAACCGACUCAGGUGGUCAGGUAGAGAAUACCGAGGCGUUCGGGUGAACUAUGGUUAAGGAACUCGGCAAAAUGCCCCCGUAACUUCGGGAGAAGGGGGGCCAUGUCCGGUGAUGAGUCUUACUCUCUGAGCUGGGUGUGGCCGCAGAGACCAGCGAGAAGCGACUGUUUACUAAAAACACAGGUCCGUGCGAAGCCGUAAGGCGAUGUAUACGGACUGACGCCUGCCCGGUGCUGGAACGUUAAGGGGACCGGUUAGC